UUCUUAAAAGACGUAAAAGAUAUCGUAGACAAAAUGACUGUCCAUUGAUUUAUGGUGUUAUUUACUCUUACGAUAUGUGACAUCUAUGAUUAGUUUAUUAUAGAUGAUGUCGGCUCACAUCAAUGCGAUUAAGAUGCCCGACAAAUGAGGUGGAUUAAAAUUAUAAUCAUUCUUAUUGAAUUGAUGAAUAGUCCGACAAAAGGAAAGGAAUGACUUCUGUUUAAGAUUAGAUUGAUGAAUUGUCCGACAAAGGAUUAAGUCAGUCAAUCAAGGCAGAUUAAGUAGUUAAAUCAAGGAAUGUUUCAAUUAAAUCAGCUCAUCCUAAUCCUCAUAGCAGUUUUUCCCAUAUCAGUUUCUGGAUAUUCCCAAUCUAAGGCUGGAACUUACCAGACGAAGGAUGGGAAGGAUUGUCUUCUGUGUCCUCCAGGCUUCCACAUGAAUGAACCCUGUGUCACUUCGGGUGAGGAGUCCUCGUGUGAACAGUGUCCCAUUGGGCAUUACAUCACAGAUUAUAACAAUUCCUCGAAAUGCCAGGCGUGUAUCACUUGCCAAGUGGGUCAAAUUGAGAAGGAAAAAUGCAAACCUACAAAGGAUACAGUGUGCGAGUGUCCAUUAGGAGAGUGGUGGAAACUUUUAUCUGGUGAUCAGGGAAAGUGUGCAGCACAUUCCCUGUGUAAAGAUGGGGAAACGGUUUUGAAUAAAGGUACACCAUUUGCUGACACCGUGUGUCAGUCAACACAAAAAUGUCCUAAGGGAGGUGGAACAACGAUCUCUUUUAACGCGAUACUGUUGACAACUGUUAUUUUUUACCUUUCUACCCAUAACCGACUACAUACUGGAUAAUGAUCCAAUUUAAACUUCACUUUAAAUUUUCUGUAGUUACCUAACCCUGUCUGAAUUACCUCCCUUAUUUUUUAUGCUUUUACAAAUACACUUACACUUACAUAGUACGAUUUCUUCAGCUUACCUGAUUUGUAUUUCUUGUGUGGGGUAUUAUAUUAAUAAUAUAUUAUAAAUUGUACAAUUACAUAACUUAAUAAUUCCGAUUGGUCGCUAAAACUUAUAGUUUUUAAGCUUUUAACGUUAUUUUAUCUGGAUUAUCGCCCUUAUUAUUGUGAUUAUCGCCUUCUAAGAUAUGACGUCAUUCCCAAAAUAACGCCGCUACUCAGCAGACGACUGUCUCUCGAGACAGUCUACAUUUUCCUUUUGCUUCUUUGUAUUCAGUUUUGUUUUUGUUUUUGUGACGGAUGGAACAUGUGCCCUAUAUGUAUUGAAUACUGAAACGUUUCUUGAUUAAUUUUAGAGCAUUUAGGUUUGGACUACCUUUUUUAUACAUUUCACCGAUAUGGUUACUUGUAUAGUUGAAUUUUACUACAUAUGCUUGGUUUUGGUUUUUAUAAAGUUCUGCCCCAUGCUAACGUUUUGUAUACAAAACUUUUAAUACUGUAUCAUGGAUUUAGCUGUUUCAAGUCAUAAAAAUUCAUUGAAAAUCAAUAUACUUGUUCGUCUCAAGAUCAUAAACUCUGUGUAUCAAUCUGAAGUCAAUCGGAUAUUAACUUUGGCCUCUAGAGCGUCCACAAGAUUUUUUGAAGUGAUCAAGGGCCAUAACUUUGGCAGUAAUUAUCAGAAAUCUUUGAAAAUCAAUAGGAUUCUUCGCCUCGUGACAUCAAACACUGUUUAUAAAUUUAAAGUCAAUCAGAUAUUAACUUUAGCCUUUAGAGCAUCCACAAGGUUUUUUUGAAGCGAUCAAGGGCCAUAACUCUGGCAGUAAUUAUCGAAAAUCACUGAAAAUGAAUAGACUUCUUCAACUCAUGACCUUAAACACUGUGUGUAAAUUUAAAGUCAAUCGGAUAUUAACUUUGGCCUCUAGAGCGUCCACAAGAUUUUUUGAAGUGAUCAAGGGUCAAAACUCUGGCAGUAAUUAUCGGAAAUCGCUGAAAAUCAAUAGUCUUCUUCAUCUCAUGGCCUUAAACACUCUAUAUAAAUUUAAAGUCAAUCGGAUAUUAACUUUAGCCUCUAGAGCGUCCACAAGAUUUUUUGAAGUGAUCAAGGGCCAUAACUCUGGCUGUAAUUAUCGGAAAUCGCUAAAAAUCAAUAGGCUUCUUCGUCUCAUGACCUUAAGCACUGUGUAUAAAUUUAAAGUAAAUCGGAUAUUAACUUUGGCCUCUAGAGCGUCCACAAGAUUUUUUGGAGUGAUCAAUGGCCAUAACUCUGGCAGUAAUUAUCGGAAAU